UUGCUGCGAGUGGUGAACUUCAUCAAUCAUCGAUGACAACACUUGAGGUACGUGUAGUCGGGCUGUCUUCCUUCAGGAAUCUGUGUAGAAAAUUGCUGCCCCACAUCUCAAGCACUAAACCGAGGGCAGACCUGUGCUGGCAGUGCCAGAGGAACAACUAUCAAAUCUGCCAGAAGCUGUUAAGUCAGCCAAGCUGAAGAAGCAAGAGCAACAUCUCCUGCUUGUUCAGAGUGAGUGGCCUGUCUACCAGAAGGUGGUUGCUGACUGCAAGACCAGCUGUCAAGACCUGCAGUUGUCUCAGUGGGCCCCUACUGAACCAGGAAGCAAAGACAUCAGGAUGCAUUGCAUCUUUAAUUUUGCUCAACAAGUGCACUAUCCUUCUGACCCUAUGCAGCCAGGUCCAAUCUACUUUUUAACUCUUCGCAAGUGUGGCUUGUUUGGUGUCUGCUGUGAAGGAAUACCACAACAAGUCAACUACUUGAUUGAUGAAUGCAUGUCAUCCAGCAAAGGCAGCAGUACAGUCAUCAACUACAUGCACCAUUGUUUCACCAACUACAGAGUUGAGGAAACACGUGUGGACCUGAAUUGUGAUAACUGCAGUGGCCAAAACAAGAACAAGUUUGUGCUCUGGUAUUGUGCCUGGUGGACCAUGCACUAGCUCCACCCCGGUCUGGACCUUCACUUCCUGAUCACAGGCCACACCAAGUUUGCCCCCGACUGUUGCUUCGACCUCAUCAAGCAGCGCUUCAGAAAGACCAGAGUGAACACUGUCUAAGAUUGCUGUCCUUCACAACACCAGCACUGUGACGGGUCAACAUCCCACAGCUGAUUGGACUGGAGGAUGGUACUGGUGGAAAGCUAUGGCUGGCAAUAACACCUGACUUCGUACGACUCCAUACUUCAGGCCACUGCCACAGAUCAAGCAGUACCAGCUCUUCAGCUUCGAUGCUCUGGAGUCUGGUGUUGUCGCCAAGGAGCGUUUGGUUGGAGCGCUCAGUUGGGACCAGGUUUCCAACGCUGACAUUCUUCCUCCCAUAGAUGGUCUGCCUGUACAAGCACCACCUGGACUGGAUACAGCUAGACAAACUUAUCUUUUUGAGAAGAUCAGGGAGUUUUGCGAUGAAGAGGCUAUGGACAUCACAUGCCCUGCACCAAAGUCAAGGGCAGGACAGAAAUAGGCUCUCUGAAUAUAGAUUCCUUUGUUCAUGCGUGGUUCGGAUGGACCAGUCAUCAGCACUACCUCUAUUCAAAUGACUCUCAACACACGCCGUACAUUGCUGCUACAAUUUUUUUUAUCCUGCUGCUAACUCUCGUCUAUCACUGAUAUCGUUAUUGAUAUUGUUCUUGUACAUACUGUAUAUUUUAUGUAUAUUGACAAUAUAUCUAUUUCUGAUAUUGCAAGUAACCAUUUGGCUGUACCGUGUACACCUUCUGUAGAGACCAGUCACUUAGCAAGACUUAGCAAAAUAUUGAUAAGUGUGGUCGUAACAUGACUUGACAUACCACAAAAAUAUGUGACCGUAUCACGUGUCCACCACAAAUAUGGCGCAUGAAUCUGUUUAUGUACUGUACAUGUGCACCUCACGCAGGUUUCAACUCAGUUUGCAUGGCCUUAACUUAUGUGAUAUGUGUAACAGUAUAUAAAGUAUGCUAAUGUACUGGUGUGAAGGCAUUUGGGCAGUGGUGUAAAAAUACUUCAAAGUACUACUUAAGUAGUAUCUGUACAUUACCAUUUAUAUUUGGCAAAUUUACUUCACUACAUUCGUAAAGAAAAUAAUGUACUUUUUACUCCAUACAUUUUCCUUGACACCCAAA